UGAAUACGAGACGCUAAGGCGUCGAAGUAGUGUAUGUCAUACUUCCAAGAAAAGCUUGCACUGUCAUAGAUAAAAAACGCCUGUACCAUAACCGACACAGGUGGGUAGGUAGAGUAUACUAAGGGGCGCGAGAUAACUCUCUCUAAGGAACUCGGCAAAAUAACUCCGUAACUUCGGGAGAAGGAGUGCCUUAUUUUUAAGGCUGCAAUAACAAGAUCCAAGCAACUGUUUAUCAAAAACACAGGUCUCCGCUAAGUCGUAAGACGAUGUAUGGGGGCUGACGCCUGCCCAGUGCCAGAAGGUUAAAGAAGUUGGUUAGCUUUUGCGAAGCUGAUAACUGAAGCCCUGGUGAACGGCGGCCGUAACAAUAACGGUCCUAAGGUAGCGAAAUUCCUUGUCGGGUAAGUUCCGACCCGCACGAAAGGCGUAAUGAUUUGGAUACUGUCUCGGAGAGGGGUUCGGUGAAAUAGACUUGUCUGUGAAGAUGCGGACUACCUGCACCAGGACAGAAAGACCCUAUGAAGCUUUACUGUAACUUGAAAUUGAAAUUGGACUUUAUUCGCGCAGCAUAGGUGGGAGGCGUUGAUUAUAAUCUCGUGGGAUUAUUGGAGCCAUCAGUGAGAUACCACUCUUGUAAUGUUAGGUUUCUAACUUUGAAUCAUUAUCUGGUCAAAGAACAGUUUCAGGCGGGCAGUUUGACUGGGGCGGUCGCCUCCUAAACGGUAACGGAGGCGUACAAAGGUUUCCUCUGAACGGUUAGAAAUCGUAUCUAGAGUGUAAAGGCAUAAGGAAGCUUGACUGUGAGACCUACAAGUCGAGCAGGGACGAAAGUCGGUCUUAGUGAUCUGACGGUACUGAGUGGAAAGGCCGUCACUCAACGGAUAAAAGUUACUCUAAGGAUAACAGGCUGAUCUCCCCCAAGAGUUCACAUCGACGGGGAGGUUUGGCACCUCGAUGUCGGCUCAUCGCAUCCUGGGGCGGCAGUACGUCCCAAGGGUUGGGCUGUUCGCCCAUGAAAGCGGUACGCGAGCUGGGUUCAGAACGUCGUGAGACAGUUCGGUCCAUAUCCGGUGUAGGCGUUAGAAUAUUGAGAGGAGCCCUCUUUAGUACGAGAGGACCGAGAAGGACAUACCUCUGGUGUACCAGUUAUCGUGCCAACGGUAAACGCUGGGUAGCUAUGUAUGGAGUGGAUAACCGCUGAAAGCAUCUAAGUGGGAAGCCCACCUCAAGAUAAG
rnacentral:rRNA from 1 species